GAUGAACGCUGGCGGCGUGCCUAAUACAUGCAAGUCGAGCGAACGGACGAGAAGUUUGCUUCUCUGACGAUAGCGGCGGACGGGUGAGUAACACGUGGAUAACCUACCUAUCUGACUGGGAUAACUUCGGGAAACCGGAUAUAACACCGGAUGAUCUUUUGAACCGCAUGGUUCAAAAGUGAAAGAUGGUCUUGCUGUCACUUAUAGAUGGUACCGCGCUGCAUUAGCUAGUUGGUAAGGUAACGGCUUACCAAGGCAACGAUGCAUAGCCGACCUGAGAGGGUGAUCGGCCACACUGGAACUGAGACACGGUCCAGACUCCUACGGGAGGCAGCAGUAGGGAAUCUUCCGCAAUGGGCGAAAGCCUGACGGAGCGACGCCGCGUGAGUGAUGAAGGUCUUCGGAUCGUAAAGCUCUGUUAUUAGGGAAGAACAUAUGUGUAAGUAACUGUGCACAUCUUGACGGUACCUAAACAGAAAGCCACGGCUAACUACGUG
rnacentral:rRNA from 1 species